AAAUAAAUAUAUAUAUAACGACAUAUAUUUUCUUUAACAAUCAGGUUGUAAAAAAUAUUUAUCUAUAAUCGAUGUAAGUACUUAUUCGAGUAUCAUUUCCAUAUCAAAGAAAGCUCGUAUAUAUGUUCCAGUUAUGAAUAGUCGACGCGCGCUUCGGAAGAAUCAUUCGAUUCGGAUGAUUUGAUACGGAUUAAUCGCCUUGGGAAAUAUACCAGAAGUCGAGCGAGUAGAGUAUUGAAGGAGGAAGAGGAUUCAGGUCGAGUCGUGUCGCUUACGCGCGACGAAGAAGAAAAGCGUACAUACGACCAUACAUACAACGAGUUCGCGAUCACCCGUAACCGUCACUAGUAGACUCCAUUUUACACGGAUCUCCCUCCCCUCUUUUCUCAUUCUCUAUCUUUCUUUCUUGUUCGCGCAGGCGCAUUGCGAAAGAAUUAUGCAGGGCGCAAGGUCCGGCCACUCGCCGGUCGAAUUUUUACCGAUCGAAGGUUAGCUUUCGCAGUUCCCUCUCUCUCUCUCUUUCUCUCCCUCUCCCUGUUUCUCUCUUUUUCUUUCUUUCUUUCUCUUUCUGUCUUUCUCCUUUUCUCUUUCUCUGUCACCAUCCAUAAAUGAUAGACGGAAAGAUUCAAACGGAUUGAGUGAGUCAGAGUUAUAAACCAAUCCGUAAGACAGACUCCGCAUCUUCUAUUAUUCUCCUGAUAUCGUUUCUCGACAAUGAGGAUUUAUAAUUUGCGAAAAUAUAUUAGAGGUUGAGUAUAAAUUCGAUGCCGUUGACGACGACGAGGACGAGGACGAUGACGAUGAAGGAAGGAAAAAGAGGAAGAAAAGAGAAACGAGCCAGCUCGGUGAAGCCUUACCAAGCGAGUAUUUGGAAGGCCGAGGAUCAGUUCGUUCGGCGCGCACCGCGGACGCGGAUCACGUUGCGUUGUCGCCAUUUGUAAACUCCCGCCGUUUCUUCGCACUUAUGCUUCGAUCGCCAUAGAAUACGCGAAUACUCGCAAGAAGUCGUGAUUCACGGAAAAAUAAAGAGAAGAAUAAUUUUGGAACGUGACAGGAUAGAGAGUAACUAUGUCGGAAGGUUGCACGAGCUGCAGAGGAGCGAAUUAUGGCGGUGGUACUUUGCAGUUAGGUGCCAC